rnacentral:rRNA from 1 species
UACAGAGGUCUCAAGCGUUGUUCGGAUUCAUUGGGCGUAAAGGGUGCGUAGGUGGCGCGCUAAAUCAGGUGUGAAAUCUCGGGGCUUAACUCCGAAACUGCAUUUGAUACUGGCGUGCUUGAGGACUGGAGAGGAGACUGGAAUUCAUGGUGUAGCAGUGAAAUGCGUAGAGAUCAUGAGGAAGACCAGUGGCGAAGGCGGGUCUCUGGACAGUUCCUGACACUGAGGCACGAAGGCCAGGGGAGCAAACGGG